rnacentral:pre_miRNA from 1 species
UCCAACUUUGACUGUCCGUCUUAUAUGAAAUUUUUUUAUAAUUCGUAUUUUUAUUAUUGUUAGAUGAUAAAACAUGAUUAAUAUUUUAUGUGUGACUUGUUUUUUUAUUUUUUUUCAUAAUUUUCUUAAAUAAGACGGACGGUCAAACGUUGGAUACGGAAACC